UACGGAAGGUGCAAGCGUUGUUCGGAUUGACUGGGCGUAAAGAGCACGUAGGCGGGUUCGUAAGUCGAUUGUGAAAUCCCCGGGCUUAACCUGGGAAUGGCAGUCGAAACUGUGAAUCUUGAAUGCCCGAGAGGUUAGUGGAAUUCCAGGUGUAGGAGUGAAAUCCGUAGAUAUCUGGAGGAACACCGGAGGCGAAGGCGGCUAACUGGUGGUGCAUUGACGCUGAGGUGCGAAAGCGUGGGGAGCAAACAGG
rnacentral:rRNA from 1 species